rnacentral:rRNA from 1 species
GACGAACGCUGGCGGCGUGCUUAACACAUGCCAGUCGAACGGAAAGGCCCUGCUUGCCGGGUACUCGAGUGGCGAACGGGUGAGUAACACGUGGGUGAUCUGCCCUGCACUUCGGGAUAAGCCUGGGAAACUGGGUCUAAUACCGGAUAGGAGCCAUUUUUAGUGUGAUGGUUGGAAAGUUUUUUCGGUGUAGGAUGAGCUCGCGGCCUAUCAGCUUGUUGGUGGGGUAAUGGCCUACCAAGGCGGCGACGGGUAGCCGGCCUGAGAGGGUGGACGGCCACAUUGGGACUGGGAUACGGCCCAGACUCCUACGGGAGGCAGCAGGGGGGAAUAUUGCACAAUGGGCGCAAGCCUGAUGCAGCGACGCCGCGUGGGGGAUGACGGCCUUCGGGUUGGAAACCCCUUUCGCUAGGGACGAAGCUUUUUGUGACGGUACCUAGAUAAGAAGCACCGGCUAACUACGUG